rnacentral:rRNA from 1 species
GAUGAACGCUGGCGGCGUGCCUAAUACAUGCAAGUCGAGCGAACGGACGAGAAGCUUGCUUCUCUGAUGUUAGCGGCGGACGGGUGAGUAACACGUGGAUAACCUACCUAUAAGACUGGGAUAACUUCGGGAAACCGGAGCUAAUACCGGCUGAUAUUUUGAACCGCAUGGUUCAAAAGUGAAAGACGGUCUUGCUGUCACUUAUCGAUGGAUCCGCGCUGCAUUAGCUAGUUGGUAAGGUAACGGCUUACCAAGGCAACGAUGCAUAGCCGACCUGAGGGGGUGAUCGGCCACACUGGAACUGAGACACGGUCCAGACUCCUACGGGAGGCAGCAGUAGGGAAUCUUCCGCAAUGGGCGAAAGCCUGACGGAGCAACGCCGCGUGAGUGAUGAAGGUCUUCGGAUCGUAAAACUCUGUUAUUAGGGAAGAACAUAUGUGUAAGUAACUGUGCACGUCUUGACGGUACCUAAUCAGAAAGCCACGGCUAACUACGUG